UGAUGGGAAAGUGAAGGCUUCUAAGACAGCAACCUGGGGAGCCGUUCUCAUAACAGAUCGCUAUUUGUGGUGCAGAUAAGACUCAGGAGAAACAAACGUGAAGUCUUUCGUGGCCCAAUUUACUCAUCAUCUCACUCCGAUGUGUAACUUUAUUCUGCCAAAUCACAUGACCAGCUAGUUAUAAUGGAAAAAUUUCAGGUCACUGUGACUAAAGAAAAAGCAGGAUAUGGAGCACCCUUCAGAGUAUCCUGUUGUAAUAAUCCACAUUGCACAUACAUGUAAUUGAAUUCAGGUCACAAUUCAAGCAACUGCUCUGGAAUACCAACUCGCAAGCAUCACUCGACAAGAGAAUACGUCUUUAUUCUACACUGAGGAUACAGACAUGCCGUGCUGAUCACGUGACAUACAAUGCUUCUGAAUAUCAAUGGUGUUUGCUAGGAAAAGAACUUCUUCAGCUACAAGAAGCCCAACCUUUCAGGGACAGGAAUCCUUAAAAUAAAAGCUAGAGGCUCAGAGCUA